rnacentral:rRNA from 1 species
UACGGGGGGGGGCAAGCGUUGUUCGGAAUUACUGGGCGUAAAGGGCUCGUAGGCGGCCAACUAAGUCAGACGUGAAAUCCCUCGGCUUAACCGGGGGAACUGCGUCUGAUACUGGAUGGCUCGAGUUUGGGAGAGGGAUGCGGAAUUCCAGGUGUAGCGGUGAAAUGCGUAGAUAUCUGGAGGAACACCGGUGGCGAAGGCGGCAUCCUGGACCAACACUGACGCUGAGGAGCGAAAGCCAGGGGAGCAAACGGG